GAUGAACGCUGGCGGCGUGCUUAACACAUGCAAGUCGAACGAAGCACUUUAUUUGAUUUCCUUCGGGACUGAUUAUUUUGUGACUGAGUGGCGGACGGGUGAGUAACGCGUGGGUAACCUGCCUUGUACAGGGGGAUAACAGUUGGAAACGGCUGCUAAUACCGCAUAAGCGCACGGCAUCGCAUGAUGCAGUGUGAAAAACUCCGGUGGUAUAAGAUGGACCCGCGUUGGAUUAGCUAGUUGGUGAGGUAACGGCCCACCAAGGCGACGAUCCAUAGCCGACCAGAGAGGGUGACCGGCCACAGUGGGACUGAGACACGGCCCAAACUCCUACGGGAGGCAGCAGUAGGGAAUAUGGCACAAUGGGCGAAAGCCUGAUGCAGCGACGCCGCGUGAGCGAAGAAGUAUUUCGGUAUGUAAAGCUCUAUCAGCAGGGAAGAUAAUGACGGUACCUGACUAAGAAGCACCGGCUAAAUACGUG
rnacentral:rRNA from 1 species